rnacentral:tRNA from 1 species
GGGCGUAUGGUCUAGAGGUAUGAUUCCUGCUUUGGGCUUUGAGCUUCUUGUGCAGGAGGUCCCCGGUUCAAUCCCGGGUGCGCCCC